GACGAACGCUGGCGGCGUGCUUAACACAUGCAAGUCGAACGGAAAGGCCCUGCUUUUGUGGGGUGCUCGAGUGGCGAACGGGUGAGUAACACGUGAGUAACCUGCCCUUGACUUUGGGAUAACUUCAGGAAACUGGGGCUAAUACCGGAUAGGAGCUCCUGCUGCAUGGUGGGGGUUGGAAAGUUUCGGCGGUUGUGGAUGGACUCGCGGCUUAUCAGCUUGUUGGUGGGGUAGUGGCUUACCAAGGCUUUGACGGGUAGCCGGCCUGAGAGGGUGACCGGCCACAUGGGGACUGAGAGACGGCCCAGAAUCCUACGGGAGGCAGCAGUGGGGAAUAUGGCACAAUGGGCGGAAGCCUGAUGCAGAAACGCCGCGUGCGGGAUGACGGCCUUCGGGUGGUAAACCGCUUUCGCCUGUGACGAAGCGUGAGUGACGGUAAUGGGUAAAGAAGCAACGGCUAACUAUGUG
rnacentral:rRNA from 1 species